ensembl:processed_transcript uncharacterized LOC110297540
AGCCUUUCGGAGCUGUGCGGCGCGCUGAGCAGGAAUGGCAAUGUGGACCUCUGAUGGAACAUCUGGUGGGAUCUCACAGUCAGUUCUGUGGCAAAGGAGGAUGAAGACUUAAAGAGGACUCAACAGGAAGCUGGAUAACAGAAAGAGAGCAAUGUGCUAGAAUAGAAGACCAGAAAAUGAAAGAUAUGAAAAAAAGGUGGAGUUUAAGGCUGGAUAUACAGCUUGAAAAGUAAGUAUUGAAAAACACUUGAAUCUAGGUCAGUGCAAAGGGACAUGCAGAGACUUUAAAUCAUCAAAACUCCAUGCAUUGUCUUAUGGAUGUUUAGAUAGGUGUAUUUUGGACAACACAGGGUUCUUGUAAUGAUGUUGAUCAAAUGUCUGAGCUGAAAAUAACUUGUAGACAAUUUUUAACCCUGAAGAACCCUGUGGCAGGCAACUAGGAAUAGUUGAGUGAUGUUAGCAUAUUUGUAAGGUAUUUAUUUUCUCUUAAUUCUAGUUACUGUGAUUGCAUGCUUGUUCAUUGGCUGGCUUGCUUGGGUACAAAUGAUGGUUUGAAUAAAGAAAGGUAUGAACGCAUGGGUCACUUCAAGUGAAGGCACUGCAAACACAAU